AUGUCGUCGGAGCCCGCACCUGCGCCCGCACCCGCCUCUGCCUCCACGGAGGAGAUCGAGGCCGACCUCUCCACCGCGACCAUCAGCAAGAAGCAGCUGAAGAAGGACGCGCGGAAGGCCGAGAAGGCCGGGAAGGCGUCGCAGCGCCAGCAGCAGCAGCAGCCGCAGGCGGAGGAGGCCGACCCCUUCGCGGCCAACUACGGAGAUGUCCCCGUCGAGGAGAUCCAGUCCAAGGUCAUCUCCGGCCGGACCUGGACCGACAUCGGCGACCUCGACGAGGCCGCCGCGGGCCGCUCCGUGCUCAUCCGCGGCUCCGCGCAGACGCUGCGCCCCGUCAGCAAGAAGAUGGCCUUCGUCGUGCUGCGCCAGAGCAUGAGCACCGUGCAGUGCGUGCUCGUCGCCAGCGCCGACGCCGGGGUCAGCACGCAGAUGGUGCGCUUCGCCACCUCCCUCAGUAAGGAGAGCAUCGUCGACGUCGAGGGCGUCGUCACCCUCCCCAAGGAGCCCCUCAAGGCCACCACGCAGCAGGUCGAGAUCCAGGUUAGGAAGGUCUACUGCAUCAAUAGGGCGAUCCCCACACUUCCAAUCAACCUUGAGGACGCAGCCCGGAGUGAGGCAGAAUUCGAGAAGGCUGAACAAAAUGGGGAGAAGCUGGUACGUGUUCUCCAGGACACACGCUUGAACUAUCGAGCUAUCGAUCUGCGGACACCUGCGAAUCAAGCAAUCUUCCGCAUCCAAUGCCAUGUUGAGAACAAAUUCAGAGAAUUUUUGUUCUCGGAGAAUUUUAUCGGGAUCCACAGUCCAAAGUUGAUUGGUGGAUCAAGUGAAGGUGGUGCAUCUGUAUUCAAGCUGGAGUACAAUGGCCAGCCUGCUUGUUUAGCACAAUCUCCCCAAUUAUACAAGCAGAUGAGCAUCUGUGGUGGCUUUGGCCGCGUCUUUGAGGUUGGUCCCGUCUUUAGAGCAGAAAAGUCAAACACUCACAGGCAUCUGUGUGAGUUUAUUGGGUUGGAUGCUGAGAUGGAGAUCAAGGAGCACUACUUUGAGGUUUGUGAUAUCAUAGAUGGCUUAUUUGUAGCAAUAUUCAAACACUUGAAUGAAAAUUGUCAGAAGGAACUUGAGACAAUAAAUAGGCAGUAUCCAUUUGAACCUCUGAAGUACCUAGAGAAAACCUUGAAGCUGACGUACGAGGAAGGGAUUAAAAUGCUGAAGGAAGCCGGAACUGAAAUCGAGCCUAUGGGUGACCUCAACACUGAAGCUGAGAAGAAACUUGGUCGGCUUGUUAAGGAGAAGUAUGGCACAGAAUUUUUCAUCCUCUAUCAGUAUCCUUUGGCUGUGCGCCCUUUCUACACCAUGCCUUGCUAUGAUGAUCCAGCUUACAGCAACUCUUUUGAUGUUUUCAUUCGAGGUGAGGAAAUUAUUUCUGGAGCGCAAAGAAUACAUACGCCUGAACUUCUGAGGAAACGUGCAAUCGAGUGUGGAAUUGACGCGAGUACUAUCGCAUCGUACAUUGAAUCAUUCAGCUAUGGUGCACCUCCUCAUGGCGGUUUCGGGGUCGGCUUGGAGAGGGUGGUUAUGCUGUUCUGCGCCCUCAACAACAUCAGGAAGACAUCUCUUUUCCCUCGUGACCCACAGAGGCUCGCGCCAUAA
rnacentral:rRNA from 1 species